AACAGGUUACCUAGCCACCAGAAUUUUUUAUUAAUUUAUUGGAAUGCAUUUCCUGUAGUUUUCAUUCACUAUUUAAGAAAAAAUGAAGGGAAAAAAUUCCUAAAGGAAGAACAGGUUUUAAAAUUCUGAUACCUGAAAAGAACAUGAUUUUCAUUACAUUGGGCAUGUUUUAUUGAAUGCAGAAUUAAGGAUACAGUCAGGAUUCAAUAUCUGCUAUGAUGCAUUCAGGUUCUGAUACAAUACUUUGCUAUUGGGCGGUAAUCUCCCUGCUUGUUUAGCUCCUAGUCCAGUUGAAUAAUUAAACUCAUGUAAAUUUGAGAUUGUGCACAGUACCACUGAGAAUAAGGGAGUUUCUUGUCUGCCUAAAGUACAUUUCAUUGUAAGUAGUUUGUUGGUUGAGAACCAAACUUUUAUCUCAAGUCAUUCUGCUCAAAGGUGUCCUUGCUCAGCAAAUCUCUUUAAAAUGUGCUCGGUUUUAAGCCCAAGUCCUGCUCUUAGGAGUGAUUUUGGUAAGAUGUGUGGUCAUGAGGAUGGUCUAAGGAAAAGGUCAAACAGCAGAGAAAUCAGACAGGCUUUUCUUUGCAUUCAUGGUGGCAAAUACACAGAAUUGAGCGAGAGGAAAACAAAACCACGGGGAAAAGGAGAAGUUCAAAUGAGGUAGGUGGACCUGCAUGGGCAUUCUCGCUUCCUUCCUUCCCACAGCUUCCUCUGUUCCUAUAAUCUCAGCACAGAUGUUUCCUUUUUAAUCCCUGGCUCCAGCUGGCAGAGCAUCUCUGCUCUACCGUACUUAGUCGCAAUUACUGCAGACAUUAACUCUGCACAUGCUUCGGAAAUUGACUGCUUUUUCUUCCUUGGAAAUGUUGCUCAUCAUCAGGUUUUUAACAGCCAGAAAUAAAGGCCAUUUGUGUAAUGAUGAAUCCGAUUCCCUUCAAGAUUUGUAAGAGAGAUAAAAGGCACAAGAAGCAGGCUUAAAACAAUUGCUGGCAUGGUGGAAAAUUUGGAUGUUGAAUUUAUAAUACCUUGCUUCUCUAGUACAGAGAGUCUUCAUCAUGUGAUAGAAAAGGAAUGGGAAAGAUGUCAAGCAGAUGCCAUAUUCACCUGCCUGAUGCUACUUUUCCAAAUUAAUCACAAGUGCUUGAUUUAUUUUGAUUAGCAAAGCAGACACUCGGUACUCUAAGCGUGGGCUGUGUCUUCUUGUAGGUGAACUUCCAUUUAUUCAUGGAGUAGGGGUUGAUCAGAGUGUCAAAGCUGCAAAACCCUAAAGCCAGACCCACUCUUUUCCUUGCACCCAGGCACGAGGCUGGGUCAUCCUUUUGUGGUGUGAUGCUGCUGAAGUGCCACCAGAGUCUGAUGUGACCCAGGCCAGAUUUUAGUAGAAAAAAAAAUCUUGGCCUGGGCUUGAACAACACGAAAUCCUCCAGCUGCUGGAUUCAGUGGUCCCAAUUUACCCUGAUUGUCCUGAUUGUGUAUUUUUUUUCUGUAUUCAGCAACUUUCCUUUGGAUGUAAAAGCAAUCUGAGACAGCCACAGUGCCAGGGAAGGUGGGAUGGAUGGACAGAGGGGCAGUGAAGAACCUGGAACCCUCACCCAUCAGCAUUUGCUGAAAUCUCUGGAUGAAUUCCCACUGCUUUCACCCCGUUCCUGUGGAGGAGGAGGAUGGAUGGCACGUCCAGCCUUCAGCUGGCUGCUGAUAUGACACGUACAGCUUCAGACAUUUGUGUGAGCACCCAGAAUAACUGGAUGAAGUUGGCCACAACUGAGGUCAUCUUGCCUAUAAACCACCCAACCACUGCCCUGCAGGGACAGGACUGGGAUGCAGAAGAGCUUCUUCAAGAGGAUGUGACUGUUUUGACUGAACAUUAGAGAGGAAAUUUCCCCAGGAUCUUCAGACACGUGAGCCUCGAGGUACUGUGAGUUCUGUUUCAAGGAGGAGAUGAAGAAAGGGGUGGAGGACAUGUAAGUGAGAAGAUAACACAAAACAAAAACAAAGCACAGAAUAUGACGGUAAGAGUUUUUAUUUUCGCGAGCUUCACGCUAAAUAUCAAGAUCAGUAACUGCCAUUGGAGGGGGAACGUUUGGCCAUCACAAUGCACAGGACUGUGAUGCACAAAGCAACCCUGAUGCAAAUUUACUUAGCAUCAAGGAUCCCUAGCAAAAAAAAAAAAACAAAAAAAAAAAAAAAAAAAAAAAAAAAAAAAAAAAAAAAAAAGGAAGCAAGAAAAAAAACUUUACAAGGCAGCUUUGAUCGGCCCUGGCACUGCGUGUGAAAGUCUAGCUCAGUUCUAAGACUGCCAGGGUAAGUGAAAGAAGAGCCUUUGUAAUUUUUGUCUUACAAUUAUGUCACUCAGCCCCGUCGCCUCCAUUCUCCCCAUGCAAUUUGUAAGGGACGACAAGUCAUUCAAAGCACCUCUGUUUACAGAGAGCCCCGGUAACACAACACCAGGGCCGGGCAGAUUCCGUGAACCGCAGACCCCGCGCUGACAGACGGGAUUGUUUGAUGGGCGCCGUGGGUGAGGCUGGAGGGGAAGAGCGGCAGCAGAACGGGACACGGGUUUUUCUGAGCUCGGAGGUCAUGUCAGCAGCCAGAGCAGCAUUCAGGGUUUUUCUAUUGCGCUGUUAUCUCGGUGCUGGCGAUGAAGUUUUAAUUGGGAAGGGUGAGCGUGAUUCUGCUCUCCUCCCACGCAGCUCUACAGAUGCUGCUGCUUCCAGGGGUAGGAUUUUGGGGUCUGCUCGCUCCCCACCAGCAGAGAGGAGAAAUGAUGAGGUGGGGAUUGCUGCACUGGUGAGGAGUGUCUCCUGCAGAUAGUGCUGAUCUGAUGAGGAAACCAAAAUGAUAUGUCUGGAGGUACAAAUGCCUUGCACACAAUGGAUGUGGCACAGACAGCAGCAUAAGUCUCCCCUCCGCACUGAUAAUACAGCUUAACCCAAUCCAAUCUAUUCCUGUGUCAUGGAAAGUUUUAGGAUUCUCUGCUGGAGACAUCUACUAUCACGUUGGUGAUAAAAUGCAUUUCAUUUCCAUACUGUAAUUAAAAACUCCAGCAAAAAGCAGCCCACUAGAAAACGAGGAAAAACCCCCGUGAUCUAUUGCCUGAAAGCCACUCAAUAGCAAUUAGCAAAUAUCAGUUUUCCUCUU